CCUACGGGGGGCAGCAGUGGGGAAUUUUGGACAAUGGGCGAAAGCCUGAUCCAGCCAUGCCGCGUGUCUGAAGAAGGCCUUCGGGUUGUAAAGGACUUUUGUCAGGGAGGAAAUCCCUAGCGUUAAUACCGCUGGGGGAUGACAGUACCUGAAGAAUAAGCACCGGCUAACUACGUGCCAGCAGCCGCGGUAAUACGUAGGGUGCGAGCGUUAAUCGGAAUUACUGGGCGUAAAGCGUGCGCAGGCGGUUUGAUAAGCCAGAUGUGAAAUCCCCGAGCUCAACUUGGGAACUGCGUUUGGAACUGUCAGACUAGAGUGCGUCAGAGGGGGGUGGAAUUCCGCGUGUAGCAGUGAAAUGCGUAGAGAUGCGGAGGAACACCGAUGGCGAAGGCAGCCCCCUGGGAUGACACUGACGCUCAUGCACGAAAGCGUGGGGAGCAAACAGGAUUAGAUACCCCAGUAGUC
rnacentral:rRNA from 1 species